UNCCACACUGAGAAUAAGUAGCUGCUGCUC
rnacentral:piRNA from 1 species